GUCAUCAGCCAGUCCCAGCAUUAGACACGGGGGGAGGGGGGGGAGAAAGCGGGGUAGAGACCCGCACUAACAGGGGCGUUUCCAGCCCAUCCUCCUUUCCCCAGCGGCUGCUCCCCGAGUCAGCGCGGACCGGGCCGCGCCCGCGGAUCUAAACCGAGCUCGGUCCCGACCCUGCGGCCGCCGCACGCGGUCCGGCUGCCCGAGCCCCGGGCGAGUUCCGGGCCCAACACCCGGCUCAGCACAGCCCGUGCGCGGGGCUCUGGGCCGGGGGCCGCCGGAGACGCAAACCCCCCGGGACAUUGCCCGUGGUUGACGAAAAAAGCUUUAAACUGCAACCCUGGAUGGCUCCAACACCAGAAGGAACCUGACUGAUGAGAUCUGAAUGCAAAGCGUGGGCAGUAUUGACUCAGUCUUGGCCAACACAGGACCAGUGUGGCUGUUUCCUCAGAGAGGUGGCUUUGUGCCUUAAUAAAGUUCGGUUAAAUGGA